rnacentral:rRNA from 1 species
GGACGUUUGAGAUUUGAGAGGGGCUGCUCCUAGUACGAGAGGACCGGAGUGGACGAACCGCUGGUGUUCGGGUUGUGUCGCCAGACGCAUUGCCCGGUAGCUAUGUUCGGACGGGAUAACCGCUGAAAGCAUCUAAGCGGGAAGCCCCCCUCGAGAUGAGUGUUGCUCGAGACCCCCGGUAGACCACCGGGUUGAUAGGCCGGAUGUGUACGUGCAGAGAUGCACUCAGCAAACCGGUACUAACGGUCGAAAGCUUG